UACGAAGGGGGCUAGCGUUGCUCGGAAUCACUGGGCGUAAAGCGCACGUAGGCGGAUUGCUAAGUCAGGGGUGAAAUCCUGGAGCUCAACUCCAGAACUGCCUCCGAUACUGAGAGUCUUCGAGUCCGGGAGAGGUGAGUGGAACUGCGAGUGUAGAGGUGAAAUUCGUAGAUAUUCGCAAGAACACCAGUGGCGAAGGCGGCUCACUGGCCCGGUACUGACGCUGAGGUGCGAAAGCGUGGGGAGCAAACAGG
rnacentral:rRNA from 1 species